UUUUUAUUCAUCAAAGAGCUACUAUUGUUUCUGCAAUGACAGAAGCAAACAGUGUAACAAAUAUUUACAAUCAUACAAUUUGUCUUUGACAUACACAGGGUACUUAAAUACAUUACUUAUAUUUAUUUCUGUAUAUAACUUUCAUAAUCACCAAUUAAAAUAUAACAUAAAUGAAACAAGGUAACCAAACUCAAGAUCUUCAUUCUUCUUUUAGUAAAAAAAAUUACUGUCACUAUGGUUACCCACAAUCUACUGUGGAUUCAUUGUCAUUUAUUAGAUACCAAUGUUCAUGGAUUUCGAAGGUAAAGGUGGAACAUGAAUUCAAAUAUCUAACAGAGGACACAUUUUCUAUUGGCUUAAUGACAAUAUAAGGCAAAACCAUGAAAUCAAAUAUAUCAACGACAAUACACUUUUCCUCAAUCCAUGAAUAUUUUUACCCACGAAAAAUAAAUGAAUCCACAGAAUUCAAAAUAACAUUUAUAUCAAUAUUCAAUAUAGAUAAUUUUACUCAUUUUAUCUGUACACAAAUCAACAGUUAUAAAUAAUGUUUUUGAAAGACAAUUUUAUCAAUAAUCAUUUAAAUUUGAAUGUUAUGUUAUAAAACAGUACCCUGAAGUAUGUCAAAAUUGCCUAAAUUGUGUAAUUAAGCACCAGAGUCACUCGAAGACAAAAUUAUAUACACAAUUUCUGUAACUUUAACAAAAACAAUAGAAACAGUAACAAGGUGCACAUGUAAAGUAUUUACAAAUAAGCAAUGAGAUUAAAUAGACGAGAAAGUUAUUACCACAAAAAUAUAAAUUAUACAUUUCUACUAUCAAAUCAUAUGGUCAGCUUAUCACAUGGGCUCUUUCAUAUCAAAACAUACAAUGUACCCAUGGAAGGUACUUUGAAAAUGGGGGUAACCAAUUAUAAAAGCAAUUCAAGAACUUCUUUUACAUUUUCACUUUUAAAAAAAAACACCCACCAAUGACCAUAGAUGAAAUUUCUAAUUGUUUUCUUUCCAUGGGUACCAUGAACGCUUUUAAGAGUUAGCCUUAAAUCUAUAAACAUGAUAUUAAUCACAAAAUCUUACAGAUGAAUCUUGACAGUGCCAAUCGAUAUAUUGUCCAAGGUGAAAUGGACAUUGUGAAUUUCAUCAUAUAAUUAACAAAUGCAGAUCUAACAGAUAAACAAUAGAAAGAAACUGUAAGUUAUAACAAUAAUAAAAACUCUUUAUCUUAACUUAUAAUAUUUUAAAGAUUUAUCUUCUGGACUAUUCGUUUUCUUUUUAGUCAAAUGAUAGGGCAUUUUACUGUAUAUUCCUUACACUAUGACAAUUUUGUGUCAUCUGCAGUUUAAAAUCAAGCAUAGUGACUGGUAGUUUAUCUUAAUUUUGAAAAUAGCACAAUAUAUUUCAAUGUAUCAAAGUUUAUCAAUCCUUCAUCUGUACUACCUUAAAGAAGUAAAGUACAUUUUAAAAUUACAUGAAUCAAUCAAAUUAUCUGACAAGGGAGGUAAAUCUUAUUCGUAAAUGAAAUUUUAUUUUUGAACAGUAAAGGGUUCAAACUGUAAGUUAAUCUGAAGAAAAGUUGUAAUAAAAUGCAUUAAAAUUUCAUGUUCAGAUAUCCUUAUUGUUUUCUUCUGAACCAUUGUGGCUAUCUUUCCAUUGAUAAAAGAAGAUGCGGUAUCAAUAAGUACUUAAACACAACAUAGUACUUUACCCUAUCUAACCUUAGUAAAUUAAUAUACAAUUGAAAUAUCUUUUGAAAUUUCAUUUCUCUUUGUUAUCAUUUUUAUGUUUUCUUCCUUAAACAAUGAUUUUUGGCCAAAAUAAGACAAUUUUUGGUCAAAAUAGCCGUUUUUACAAAACUAUUCAGCACUAAAUUACAGAUAUCACAUAUUUUAAAGCAGCAACUAUGUUUCACUAUGUUCAAAUAUAUAUGAAGUUAUAUUUGUUGUUCAUUUUAUACAUUGUAACAAAAAUACAUAAUUCAAAAAUAAUAUAUGGCAAGUUCUUACAUGUAAUGCUAGAGAAUAAUAUCAACUACAUCAUCAAAACGUUGGGUAAUAAGUGAUUCAAAAAAUCAUAAAUCAAAACAUUAUAAAAUUGUAGACUUCUUCAUAUAAAAGUUCCAAUAUCUAAAAUAAAAACAACCUUUCAUAGUUUUCACAAUAUUUCAUAAUUGGUGAGUUAUCACAUUUUUCUCCUACAGCAUUAAACAUUUGGUCAUUAACGAAAUGAGAAGAGCUUUUAUUCUGAAACAUAGACCUAAUUUAAGCACAAAUUUGGAAGUCACAGUUCACAAUAAUAAUGUGAAAUUUAAUGUGAAACAGGAAUUUACAUGACAAAUAAUUAAAGAUCUAAUGCAAUAAUUAAAAGAUUAAUUUAUUGAGUGUACCAUUGAUGUGGUAAAAAUGGCUGAGGCCAUCAAAAAUACGUCCAUACACAAAUCUGAAAGUACGUCUGUUACCUUCUUAUAAGUCAACAUACAAAUAGUUUUGAAAGGCUACAAAAAAUUUAUUUCAUUCUCUUUUAUAUCAAAGCAACAUAAAAUUUUACAAUAUUUGGUAUAAAAGUAAAUAUAUAAAUAUUAUCUCAUUAAAAUAGACAAUUGGCAGUAUCCUUAAAAGUUUUCAUACUAAAGUUCUUUUUAUAAAAAUAAAUGUCAGCAUAACGUUAAGUUAUACAUGAAAUAUUUGCCACUUGAAGUGCAAACAUAAACCAACCUUGAACUCUUUCCUGCAAAUUAAAAAAGUUGCUUAAGUUUCAGGCAUGUUUUAAUUGAAACAAAUCUUGGAUAAUUAGUUAUUUUAAUGAGUUAAAUGAUUUUAAAAAGUGACAGAAAAAGUCUUAAAGCAGACAUCUGUGCCUUUAAAAAGGUUUAUUGAGGCUUAUUAAGAAAAGGAGAUUUUGUCUAACACUUGCAAGUGGUUAACUUGUAUCCAAUUUAUAUCAUGUUUUCAAUAAACCUAAUCUUGAGUAAAAUCCUUUUCCAAAGAAACUUUUUUUAAAGAAAAUUACACAAGCUGGGCUCCAGCAUAAAAACAUUAAUAUAUGUUUUUAAAGUAAAUCCUUCAUCACAAAUAUCACAAAUGUGUAACAUGAAAAGUUUUAAUCUUUGACAAAAAUGGCUGUCUAUACAUCAUCGCAAACCAUUUAAAAAAAUAUAAAUAUUCUUGCAUAGAAUUAACUUCACUUAUCUACAAAAAUUAAUUGUAAAUAAAUAAUUAAUUUUAAAUAUAUAUAAACCUACAAUACUAACAUACACUUCACUUCACAUACAAGGUUUAUAUCAGUAUCACCAUAAUAUUUUAAAAAAAUAAUAAUAACUUGAAUUUAUUCUCAAGAAUGGGUGUUGACCUACCAAAAGAAUAGAUCAUACUGUACAUUCAGAAACUAUUGUGAGGUUUUUUUAUUGUGAAAAAUGUGACAGAUUUGUCAAAGCAAUAAUUUAAACUCGCAUUUUAAAAUAUUUUAUAUGAAUUAAACAGGAUUUUUCUCAAAAUCGUAAAUAUUUAAAUCACAUUUAAGUCUCAAAUGACAAAAUCCCAAUAAUAAAUACACUCAAUAAUUUGUAAAUUGACAGUAGUGUUAUGUUUAAAUGUUUUAGUCCUUUAUAAAAGAAUUUAGUGUUUUCACAAAGCAGAAUUGGAGACCUUUGACUAGUUUAUUGUAGAAGAAUCAGUCUGAUACAACUGAUAUGUUUCAUGAGCAACAAGAGCCUUGGCUGUUAUUUGAAAGGUGCAGAGGUUGUAAUGUAAAUAAAUUACAUUUGUAAACUUGAAAUUUCAGAGAUGAUAAAAAGAUAAUACAGAUAAAUAAUAGAAACAAACACUUAUAUGGGUUUGCUCUGAAAUUUUGUUUGCAAUUAAAACAAGUCACAAGCCAAAAGACAAUCAAUUUCUUGUACCAAAGUUAUAAAUAUUUCUCACUGUACAUAUAUAUGUAUGUGUGAAUUACAAGAACAAAACUUAACACUUACAAACUACUAUAACAAAUAUAUUCUUUCCAGUUUAAGUACUUACAAAUCACAUCAGUUUACAGUAUCACAUAUUUUCAUAAGUCUUGUGUUAAAAAAAUUAAGGGGGAUGGAUGUUGUUGGUUUAUAGGCACUUUUCAUAACAAAUGCAUAGUCAUGAAUCACUAUCAACAAUAUCAAUCUACAUAAUAAAGCAAGUUAUAUCUCAAAUCAAAAUUUCAUGAGUGGUUGGUUCUACAAAUUUGUGUGCCUUUUGUCCCUUUAAGACUCCUUUUUAAGGACAACUCCAAUGAAUAUAAAUGGUGCAAAAAUAGCCACCUCAAUUAAAUUUUUACAAUAUAAAAAUAUAUGCAUUUUUUAACAACAUGGACAAAUUUUGAAUUAAGGUAGAUUCAUGGUAUACCGCCAUCUUGGAUUGUACAAUCACAGUACAAAAUCGGUCUAGUUAUUUGCCUAAAUCAGCAAAUUUGGAAACAGAUUUGCAAUUUAAUGGUUAGACUGUUUAUUUAUAUAAAGCAAACUUGCUAAUUUAUUUUAUUAUUCAAAAUAUUUUAACAAAUAUCAACCUUUUGGGUUUUUAAAAUCAUUUUUUGUCAAAUGAGCUAUUUAAGGGGAGAUAACUCUUUUAGCACAAAAUUUAUACUGGGCUAAUAGGGAUUUUUUUUAUUUUUACUUGUGGCAAAAAAACUAGUUCGGUGACACCAUGUUUUCUUUUUAUUAUCUUAAAACAUAUUAUAAAACCUAUCUUCUCACAAUUUAUUUCAAAAUUCUAUCUCAUAGAAUUUUUUUUAUGCCCUGUUAUGUGUUUUUUCAUGAACAAACUAACCAAAUUUAGGCAAUUUUCAGCGACUCAUAGCUUGAAAAAUAGCACGGUGACCCAUACUUUUUAUUAGAUUUUUGGAAAAAGCAUAGGAAAAUCUUCAUUUUGUCAAAUCAUAAGAAAAUUCUGUCUCAAAAAACAUUUACUUAUGAUCUACCUUAAGUAAGCUAUUAAAAUAAUAUGUAUUUUAGCUCAGACAGUAUUGUUAUAUCAAGGCAAGGGAUGGUAAAAUAAAACUAGAGGCUCUAAAGAGUCUGUGUUGCUCACCUUGGUCUAUGUGAAUAUUAAACAAAGGAAGCAGAUGGAUUCAUGACAAAAUUGUGUUUUGGUGAUGGUGGUGCGUUAGUACAUCUUACUUUACUAAAUAGUCUUGCUGCUUACAAUUAUCUCUAUCUAUAAUGAACUUGGCCCAGUAGUUUCAGUGGAAAAUGUUAAUAAAAAUUUACAAAUUUUAUGAAAAUUGUUAAAAAUUGACUAUAAAGGACAAUAACUCCUUAGGGGGUCAAUUGACCAUUUCGGUCAUAUUGACCUAUUUGUGAAUCUUACUUUGCUGAACAUUAUUGCUGUUUGCAGUUUAUCUCUAUCUAUAAUAAUAUUCAAGAUAUUAACCAAAAACAACAAAAUUUCCUUAAAAUUACCGAUUCAGGGACAGCAACCCAACAACGGGUUGUCUGAUUCAUCUGAAAAUUUCAGGGUAGAUAGAUCUUGACCUGAUUAACAAUUUUACCCAUUAUCAGAUUUGCUCUAAAUGCUUUGGUUUUUGAGUUAUAAGCCAAAAACUGCAUUUUACCCCUAUGUUCUAUUUUUAGUCAUGGCGGCCAUCUUGGUUGGUUGGCUGGCUCACCAGACACAAUUUUUAAACUUUAUACCCCAAAGAUGAUUGUGGCCAAGUUUGGAUUAAUUUGGCCCAGUUGUUUCAGAGGAGAAGAUUUUUGUAAAAGAUAACUAAGAUUUACGAAAAAUGGUUAAAAAUUGACUAUAAAGGGCAAUAACUCCAUUUUGGUCAGGUUGACUUAUUUGUAAAUCUUACUUUGCUAAACAUUAUUGCUGUUUACAGUUUUUCUCUAUCUAUAAUAAUAUUCAAGAUAAUAACCAAAAACAGCAAAACUUAUUUAAAAUUACCAAUUCAGGGGCAGCAACCCAACAACGGGUUGUCCGAUUCAUCUGAAAAUUUCACGGCAGAUAGAUUUUGACCUGAUAAACAAUUUUACUCCGUGUCAGAUUUGCUCUAAAUGCUUUGGUUUUUGAGUUAUAAGCCAAAAACUGCAUUUUACCCCAAUGUUCUAUUUUUAGACAUGGCGGCCAUCUUGGUUGGGUGGCCGGCUCACCGGACACAUUUUUUAAACUAGAUACCCUAAUGAUGAUUGUGGCCAAGUUUGGUUUAAUUUGGCCCUGUAGUUUCAGAGGAGAAGAUUUUUGUAAAAGUUAAUGAUGACGGACGACGGAUGAAGUGAUGGGAAAAGCUCACUUGGCCCUUCAGGCCAGGUGAGCUUAAAAAUAGUAAUAUAGAAACCAUAAAAUCAUACUCGUCAUCUUUACUUGGCAUCUGCUGAACACCCAUAUCAAUGACAAUAUUACAGAAAAAACACAAAUAAAUAUCAUUUGUCAAAAUUUUGUUCAAUUUGGUGUGUCUUUACAACUAUUAAAAGUACAAGAUCAGUCACAACGUAAAAAAAAAAAAACACUGUGCACUUAAGCAGUCCUUUGGUUAUAUUUAAUAAAUGCAAAGUCUAAAUAGUUUGAAAUAUCCUCAUGGAUAAAUAAUUAUAACUGGGGUAAAAUUUGUACUUUGUUAUAUAACUUAUCAUAUUUGAUACUUCCAAGAUUGAGUAUAAAUAAAUUUUUCUAACUGGGUAUUACAUUAACAGAUAAAUAGAUUUUUGCAUAUUUAUUGUCAUAACAGAGGUCUGUUAAUAUUCUAUAUUCGCCUUAAAUUGGUUGAAAUGUUGUUUAAUUAUGUACACAUUCAUCCCACAGGCAGACCUUACCAAUCAUAAUGUAAUAAUCAAGAGGGAAAUAGAAUAUCUAGUAAUAUAUAAAAUAGAAAGAAAGAGCACAAUACAAUGACUUUACCUCAAUGAAAUUCUUACAAAACUAUAAAAUAAUUAUC
rnacentral:lncRNA from 1 species